rfam:Astyanax mexicanus chromosome 17, whole genome shotgun sequence.
ACCAGGAUGGCCGAGUGGUUAAGGCGUUGGACUUAAGAUCCAAUGGGCAAGUGGACCUAAAGGCCAAAGUGUUUUAGAAUCUUUAGAAUCUGUUCAUACCUGGAAUUUAAAACCUGUUGCCUUUAUCAAUUAGCUUGCGAAUGCCAACAUGGGUUUGAACCCCAUUCCAGGUG